rnacentral:rRNA from 1 species
AUGGCCUCCUACGACAAGGCCAUGGAGUCGUACAAGAAGGCCGUCACCACGGCGGCCUCCCUCGCGGCGUCCGCGAUGCUGGUGCGCGGCGUCGUCAACGAGCUGGUGCCGUACGAGGUGCGUGACCUGCUCUUCUCCGGCAUGGGCUACCUUCGCUCGCACAUGUCCUCCCAGCACACCAUCAUCAUAGCGGAGACCGAGGGGUGGGCCAACAACCAGCUCUACGACGCCGCGCGGGCGUACCUGGCGACGCGGAUCAACACCGACAUGCAGCGCCUCCGGGUCAGCCGCGUCGACGAGACCAAGAGCAUGAUGUUCAGCAUGGAGGAGGGCGAAGAGAUGGCCGAUGUCCAUGAGGGCACCGAAUUCAAGUGGCGCCUUGUCUGCCGGGACAACUCCAGCGCCAGCAGCAGCAACGGCAAUGGCCGUGGCGGCAGCGGCAAUUUCAAGCUUGAGGUCCGGUCCUUCGAGAUGAGCUUCCACAGGAAGCACAAGGACAAAGCACUUACCUCCUACCUCCCUCACAUCCUCGCCGUGGCCAAGAAAAUCAAAGAGCAGAACAGGACGCUCAAGAUCUACAUGAACGAAGGUGAGUCGUGGUUUGCCAUUGAUCUCCACCACCCAUCAACCUUCAGCACGCUUGCCAUGGAUCACAAGCUCAAGCAGUCAGUCAUGGAUGAUCUCGAGAGGUUUGUCAAGAGAAAGGAAUACUACAAGAAGAUCGGCAAGGCAUGGAAACGAGGGUACCUGCUGUAUGGCCCACCUGGGACUGGCAAGUCAAGCAUGAUUGCAGCAAUGGCCAAUUACCUCAAAUUUGAUGUAUAUGAUCUUGAGCUCACUGAGGUCAACUGGAACUCAACACUUCGGAGGUUGCUCAUCGGGAUGACCAACCGGUCAAUUCUUGUCAUUGAGGACAUCGACUGCACUGUCGAGCUGCAACAGCGGGAGGAAGGCCAGGAGGGCACCAAAUCCAACCCUUCAGAGGACAAGGUGACACUAUCCGGGCUACUCAACUUCGUUGAUGGGCUUUGGUCCACAAGUGGGGAGGAGAGGAUAAUUAUCUUCACAACAAACUACAAAGAGAGGCUCGAUCCUGCGCUUCUGCGCCCUGGCAGGAUGGACAUGCACAUUCACAUGGGGUACUGCUGCCCAGAGUCGUUUCGAAUCUUGGCCUCCAACUACCACUCUAAGAUCACCAUGUCACAUACCCGGAGAUCGAAGAAAUGA